rnacentral:rRNA from 1 species
GAUGAACGCUGGCGGCGUGCCUAAUACAUGCAAGUCGAGCGAACAGAUGAGGAGCUUGCUCCUCUGACGUUAGCGGCGGUCGGGUGAGUAACACGUGGAUAACCUACCUAUAAGACUGGGAUAACUUCGGGAAACCGGAGCUAAUACCGGAUAAUAUAUUGAACCGCAUGGUUCAAUAGUGAAAGACGGUUUUGCUGUCACUUAUAGAUGGAUCCGCGCCGCAUUAGCUAGUUGGUAAGGUAACGGCUUACCAAGGCGACGAUGCGUAGCCGACCUGAGAGGGUGAUCGGCCACACUGGAACUGAGACACGGUCCAGACUCCUACGGGAGGCAGCAGUAGGGAAUCUUCCGCAAUGGGCGAAAGCCUGACGGAGCAACGCCGCGUGAGUGAUGAAGGUCUUCGGAUCGUAAAACUCUGUUAUUAGGGAAGAACAAAUGUGUAAGUAACUAUGCACGUCUUGACGGUACCUAAUCAGAAAGCCACGGCUAACUACGUG